UGUAGCUCAGUGGUAGAGCACUUGCCUGACAUGCAUGAGGCCCUGGGUUCAAUCUCUAGCA
rfam:Fukomys damarensis contig118544, whole genome shotgun sequence.